ACACUGAACUAGUUCUGGAAGUUCUUCUGUUUUUUCUGAUUAUUAAUUAAGCAUAUCCCUUACCGGGUUCACCACUAUUUUGUAAUUGACCCACGAUCUAGCUCAUCAACAUGAGGUAUAAGGUGUUAGACCUGACACCGGAUAAUCUAAAUCUCUUCCUUAGCAUGUAAUAUUAACUCUUGAGUCAUUUGAUUUGUCUCUACAUUAGUACUGUGAUACAAAUACCUAAUGUAUGUUGUUGUUGUUCCUGCUGCAUUUCCGGUUAAAACUUUACAUAUGUGUAUUUCAGAAAGUUCUGACCAGUCUGAUGCAAAUAGGAAGAAAUAUGCCCACUAACUUUUUCCUGAUCAAGGAGUAUUUCCGCAUUCCUCUAUCUCAUCUGAGAUCAGUGCUCAGUGCAGCAGACAGCAUAAUCGUGAGGGAGAUUCUGCUGUACUAUAACAGGAACACAGCCACUUUGCAGGUAGACCAUCUCAUCAUUGCAUCAUUAUAUAUUAAAAACAAUCAAGAAACAAACAAUCAAGAUAAAUGAAUUUAUGUAAUUUACAGUUUUUCUUUUCUUUUUUGAAGCUAACAGAUGAUUACCUGCACACCAUGGUGUCUGUGCUUUUCCAAAUACACCUGCCCAAGGAUAUUAGCCUGUUUUCUGACAUGGGUAUUUUGUUGGCUCUAGCUACACCUUCAGACAUCUUGUCAAUGCCGCUACAAAAUAAUAUCAAUGCGUUAAGCAUAAUUAACUUCAGCAUAAAAAACCUUUCCCUGGAGCAGCAGCAAGCGUUUGGUCGGUGGUUCAGUCAGUCCAUGAGCUUACCUAACAUGACAGCCGGCAGCUUAUCCGUUAUCAGAGACACUGGUAACCUGAUCGCCUAUCUGCCCUUUCAGAGCUUCCAGUACUUCUCACCUGCUCAGGUAACAGCCCAUCACCUCACAAAGAUACCUGAACCCAUCUGGCUCCAGUUAACCCUCAGGCAGCUCAUCUGGGGAAAAUGCCAAUGCUUGCCACAGGUUCAUUGUAACAGACAUGCCCUUGUAGUCUGUUUUCAAUAA
rnacentral:lncRNA from 12 species